GCUAACGUGUUUUUUUUUAAACUCCCUCGACCCACCCACCCCCACCCGCCUCAGACUUCUGGUCGACAUGGAAAGCUUGCACACUGUUUUGCAACAUCUGGAGGGGACCUAACGCCGCUGUUUGACCAGCUCUGGAUUUUGGAAGGCCUCCACCUUUUUAUUAUGACGCUUGGAUCUUUCCUCCAAGGUGCUUAUGGGGACCAUAAACGGCCCUGUUAUUAAUAUAUUUAUUAAUUACCCUCCCUUCAACCCAAGGUCCCAGGGUGAGUUACAGCAAUUAAAACAAAAUGUUCAGAAUAGUUUACAACAACUUACAAGCCUCCAAAUAACAUGGCUCCGGAAAAUAUACCUCUCCUGUUCCUGUUUUUGAAAAUGCAAAUAAAAAUUAAAAAAGAAAAUAUAUCUUUCCGGUAUCAAAAGCCAGGGUAAAGAGGUGUCUUCAGCAUUUGCCAAAAGCCGUAUAAUAAAGAUGCCCAGUGUGCUCCACCCAUCUUUUUCAUCUUCCCAACAAACCUGAGAGUUAAGUUAGGCUAGGACUACAAAGAGCGACUGGACCAAAACCAGCAAGUUAGGCUGUGUACACAUUCCUGUUUACUCUCCAUGUAAUAGCCACAAUCUAUAUUGUCUUGUUUCUGAUGAAAUGUUGCUCGCUGGAAACUGGGGGGCAGGGGGAGAGAAUGAUGCAUUUUUUUUUAAAGCAGCAGUGCAUACACAGCCUCUGUUUCAUGUGGAUUUGAAUCUGUGUCUCCCCAGUCCUAGCCCAGUUUAUGAAGCUAUCAACUUCAUGUAACUCAACAGCCCCUCAUUUCAAUUCUCUGGCCCUGGGAUGUAAUCUGGGAUUAGGGUGGGUGCAUUUCUGAGAUCUUGGAGUCAACUGUUUCUCACCUGUAUGUUCAUUGCUUAUUCAUGACUCUUGUCCUGCCCUGCAUAGUGCUGCCUCAAUACUCAAAAUAGGCACAGCUUCUUCUGGUGGUAUUUUUGGCAUGAAGUCAUACAUUUCUCACACAUUUUUGACUCUCAGCUGUGCUUGCUUCUGAAGGAAGCCUGUUCGUAUUAGUGAGUUUACUUUGGAGAAAAAGCCACUGGGGAACAGUAGCCUGUUUCAUAAUCGGCAAGAAGGCACUGUCACAAAUUUCAGGGUCUUUUCACCUUUCAGUCAUUAAUGGUGUUUCAGCAUGUACUGCUGUAAUUUGAUCUGACAUUGCAGUUUCACUGAAGAUAGGUGCUUCCCCAUGUGUGAAACACUACAACCAACAUGUAGGUUAGUGUGAGAACAUAAUCUCAUUGAUAAGUUUCUUGCAUGUUAAUGGCAAUAACUAGUCUCUGCAAGUGAACUACGUUAGCUGUGUACAGGCGUAAAUUUUGCAGAAUUUAUUUUGUGCUUUGAGGUGCACCAGCUGAAGUACACAGUAGUCGCUUGGGGUGGAGUCAGAUGCAAAAUGGUAUCUUGGGGUGCAGCCACUUAAGUAUCACAUCCAAGUACACAUCUACUUUCAUGUGCAAUUAAAGAUCAGGGGCUUUAGCAGCCUAAUUUAAAGUAGCCUUGUACAUAAUCCCACAAAGGUGACCAGCAUGGAAAUAUAUUUACAGUGAUACAUCGGGUUAAGAACUUAAUUCAUUCUGGAGGUCUGUUCUUAACUUGAAAGUGUUCUUAACCUGAAGCACCACUUUAGCUAAUGGGGCCUCCUGCUGCCACCGCGCCGCUGGAGCACGAUUCCUGUUCUCAUCCUGAAGCAAAGUUCUUAACCCGAGGUAAUAUUUCUGGGUUAGUGGAGUCUGUAAGCUGAAGCAUAUGUAACCUGAAGCAUAUGUAACCCGAGGUACCACUGUACUGGCCUGUUGUGGCCUGCCAAGAAGGGGACAAAGGGAUUGGUUCCUCCAACUGCAUGCAGUUGGUUUUUGUUGCUGUUGCUAUUGUCAAAUCUACAAGCAAUAAAGUGGUAGAACAGAGCUUUCCAAACUCUGCGUCACGACAUGUUUGUGUGUAGGUGUGUCGCACAAAUGCUCCCUCCUGGCCCUGGAAAGGGUUCGUUUAACCUCCGGUUUGCUAGUAAAAUUGAAUUACUGUGUCACGAAAUGAUGCAUGUCCAAAAAGCAUGUCACCAACUUGAAAAGUUCUGUGGUAGAGCCUCAUCUACUUUCUGUCUACCCCUGUGUUAGGAAGAGUAUCACUGUGGAUUUGGAACUAAUGAGGGCUUUCUUCACACUUCGCUCCAAAAGUAGUCCGUUACAGUAGCAGCAACCAUGCUCCCUCCAAACCAAAUAGCGACACCUUCCAGAGAAAUUGUUAAUACAGCCUGAAUAAAACUUACCACCCACAGAAAGCUUUAAAGUCAACAGAAUUGAGGCAUAACUUGGGAACAUUUUGGAGUGGCAGAAAAACACAACCUCUCCCAUUCAUCACUGAUUAUUAAGUACUAGCAGAGCAUCAUAGGUUCCUAGGCAAAAUACAUACAGUAAUGCCUUUUCUUUUGUGUCUGUAGGAAUCUGGACAGGCUAACUUGACUAUUGAUUCCAGCAAUAAAGUUCUCCUCAAUCCUAUCCCAUGUUUCAGGAGUACCUGUAGCCCUCCAAAUGUUGCUGAACUGCCCCUCCCAUCAUCCUUGACCGUUACCCAUGCUGGGUGGAGUUAAUGGGAGUCGUGGGCGUAGCCAUGAUUUUUGUUAGUGCAGGCAGGCCUGGGGGGGCGGGCAGAACCUCAGUUUGCUAUGUAUUUUUAUUGAUUUGGGGGGGGAGCUGCCCCACCUUGGCUACACUCAUGGCUGCAGUCCAGUAACAUCUGGAGGGCUCUGGGUUCCCUACACUUGCUGUAUAUACAACAAAGCAGUCAUUUUGGCAUCCUUCAAAAACUAAAAGGGCUUUCCCUCUUGGGACCUCCUGGGUAUCAUGGCUUCUUUGUCCCACUCAGAUUGGAGCAAUGAAUCAAUCAAAGCUCCCUCCAGCUAGUUGCAUUCCCACACAUGCCUUUGGGUGCAUAGACCCUAUACAUUCAAGGUUCACACACUGUGGAAUCCUGGGAACCAUAGUUCUGGGAGUUAUAGCUUUGUACAGGGUAAACUAAACUUCCCAGGAUUCUUUGGAGUGGGAGAAAUGCACCUUAAAUAUAUGGUAUGCACACAGUCCCAAUUAGUUACCCUACCAGGAAGAAUUACAUAGGGCUUACAGUCAGUUCUCUGCCUCCAGUGAGCUUCUGCUUCUUGAACAGCAAGUUGUUGCCCAUUUGUUCUUGCUUCAUAGCUAGCCUUAGGCACAGAUCCUGCACUCUUGCCAGAUCCUUUUGUCUCAGCAGCAGCCAGCUCCCAAUAUUGCCAUAUUCCAUGCAAUUUUUAGCAAUGUUAAGGACACUGUAUAUAACAUUUGUAACCCACCAACUCCUUUUUAAAAAAAUCACAGCAAUGUACAAUAAAUCAUUAAAACAUCAUAAAUGCAGAACAAAUGAGCAACACUUACUGAAAUUAGUCCCACUAGCAAGACAGAAACAUUUUCAGGUGACAAAAUAUCAGGGGCCUGUCAGAUUUCAAUAGGAAAAGUGUCCCAAAUUACUGUUGGCACUAUGCUAAAAGCCUCAAUUCAUGUCAAAGCUAAAUAAAUAACUGUGGGACAGUUGGGAGGGCUUCUUCAGGUGAUCACAGUGGCUGGCCAGUUUGUAAGGGAUAAUGUGAUCUUCUAGGUAGCCUGUUCUUUAGCCAUUUAGGGCUUAAUACACCAACAGUAAUACCUUAAAACUAGCUCAGUAAUGUACUGGCAGCAGUGUAGCGCUUUCAAUGCAGGUAUAAUAUGGUGGUGUGGAGCUGUUCUGGCCAGAAGCUGGGCUAUAGCAUUCUGUGCAAGCUACAGUUUCCAAACCAACCUCAAGGGUAGCCCCACAUAGAACACAUUGCAGUAGUUCAGCUUACAUGUUCAUAUGCACUUAAAUGGAAAUGGAAAAACAGGCCCAGCAAUCAGAACCUAUGCUGUCAUGGAGAUGUCACCUAAAGACCCGUCACUGUCAAAGCUGAUCACUGCAACAUUAUUUCUGAUUUAAUUAUUGUUGUUUUAAAAAAACUGUAGGCACCUGUCUAGGAAUGUACAAGGCGACAGAUGCUAAUUUUACUAUAUUUACUUUAUCUUAUCAUUUUCUACAGCAAAAGUGUGCUUAUUCCCAGG
rnacentral:lncRNA from 1 species